GGAGGGGACAGCUCAAGUGGUAGAGCGUGUGCUUAGCAGGCAGGAGGUUCUGGGUUCAAUCCCCAGUACCUCCA
rnacentral:tRNA from 1 species